AUUGUGUGUAGAUCCUGGUUACAUGCCAUUACUGUUGCUAAUAUGCAACUCUGUUGAAUAUAUAUUGGAAUUGCACUUUAGCAAUGGUGAUGGAAUGUUUUCAAAGGCUAAUGAAAGAGA
rnacentral:pre_miRNA from 14 species